UUACUUUUUGCACCAACUGGCGUAUAGAGCCAAACUUGUAAUUAUGUUUGCUCGUGUUUGAUCUCUUUACGUUAUGUCAUUUCUAUUAUUUCGAUUUACUUAUUGAUUAUGUAUAGUGAUGAUAGAGAUGAUUCAGAUUCGAGUACUAGUGUUCUCCAUUGACCGUUGUUUGUACAGAGAUGAUCUUUCGGAGAUAAGGGAAGCUCUUGGAGUUUUGAGUUGCCCAUUUUCUUCUAUCUUAUUGUUAUUUAGACUUUUUAAUCAGGACAAAUGUAUUUACUAUAUUCUAAGUCUUUUGGGUUAUAUUACUGACAUUAGAUGCUCUUGUACUGGCUCUACUAGGUCAUGGGAUUGGUAUUCAUGUGUUUA